rnacentral:lncRNA from 1 species
AUGAAAGGGUGGUGGGACUGCCCCCACCGACUCAGCCCCCAGUUCUCCUGGAGGCAAGGAACUUUCCCCUGGGCCAUCAGGCUCCCAGCAUUCAGGUGGCAGAGCCCAGCACGGCCACAUCUGGUCCAGGGAUGGAGAAAUGAGCUCUGGGAACCCGGGACAUGCAGCGCCAAUAGCAAGCCCCAGUGCUCCAGCAAACACCAACCAGGCAGAUCGACCGGAUUCAGUUCCAGAAAGCUCCGCGGACACCACAACAACGUCCCUCAGGGCCAGAGGCCUGAUGAAAUUACAACCACCAUCAAUCAGAGUCUAGACAGAAGCAGUGACUGGACUCACUGCGCCAUGCCCAGGAGUCUGUGUGGUGCAAUGAAAACGACACCCGGUUCUUUCCAUUGGUUCUGCUGCCAAAAAACCCUAUGGCCUUGAGCAAGUCACUUGACCCUUUUGGGCUCCGUUUUCCCAUCUGCACAAAGGGGUAAGGGGGUCCCCAGUUUGUAAGCAUUGGUUCUGCUCCCUCACGCCAACUCCAAGACCUGAGCAGCUCCAGGUCCACACUGGCCCAAGGCUUCCACACCAGGGAUUGAGAUGUCCAACCCCUGGGACAUUCUCCUUUCUUCCUCUGGAUUGGACUGCCCUUUAGAGGCACCUCAAAAAAAUACCUUAAAAGAGUCAGUGACCAACACUCUGCUCUGGACAUACAACCUUGCCCUUCCAUGACCCCACACAUCUACCUUCAACUUCAUUCUUAGAACUUGAUUCCCAAGGGAGGGGGAGAGAAGUAAAAGUUUGCAGGACACCAAGAAUAUCAAAUUAAAAGGCAAAUGCCCUCCUUAGGUUUGCUGCCACCACUGGGUGGAGAUUCAUUUGUAUGAUUACAGUCACUUACGUUGGCUUACAGGAUGACACUUUGAUGUCCAUUUUCUCACAUGAUCUCUACGUCAACCCUGCUGAGGCAGGCAUAGUGCUGUCCAUAUGUUACACGUUAGGCAACUGAGGCCCAGGAAGUGGAAGCAACUUGUCCAGGGUCAUACGGCCAGCAAAAGGCAGAACCAGGCUUUGAACCCAGGUCUGACUCCAAAGCCUGUGAUUGUGAUCACUACUCAACACCUCCUUGCAGCCUCCAAGUCAGCCGCUCUGGCACCUGGGAAAUCAGAUAAGGGGGUGAUGCAGUCUGCAAGGGUUGAGUUCACCCUCCCCCACAGCAUUAGAGCCCAAGGGGGUCGUCAGAGGCUAGUGAAGCUCUCUGGCUCCAUCCUGCUGGCAUCUUUCUCGGUAGAAUGUUCAAUGCAACUGUUUCUCCACUGAGGAUUUUCCUCAGGGUCUCAGAGGGAAAGAAAAGUAUCUGGAAGAGAAAUUCCACAAUAGAGGCAUCUCAUCUUUGCCUGGAACAGUGCAGCAUGGGGAUGGAGAGCACAUGAACAUUAUUAAAACCACUCCAGCGCCCUAAAUUGCCAGGCCUGCAGAGCACCACGAAUAUGGAAUCAGGAGGGAAUAUGCACCCUCAAGCUCCCAGAGUGGAAAAAAAUUGCUACUGCUAUAAAAAUAAUAGAACUGCCAACCGCCCAUAAAAUCUGCUCCAUUAAUGUGAAACAUAUAAAAUGAUUUACUUUUUCGGUGAGAGUAUCAAAAUUACAAUCUUUUUCAGAAAAGUCAGAAAAUAAUAUCACUGAAAACAAUGAUCCGUGGGAGAGAUGAACUGAUGAACUAGGAUUGGGACACACAAAUGCUCCCCAAGGUAGUGGGGUCCCAACACCCCUCAGAAGAUUUUCAAAUGCACAGAAGCUGGGCACUGACCCCAGAAGAUUCUGAUUCAACGGGUGAGAUGCAAGGCCUGGGGAAUCAGUGUUGAUGGGUCCUCCCUAGGAGACUCUGCAACAGCCAUUGCAGAUAGGCUUGGGGUUGAGAAUACUGCCCAGGUGCCAGGCACGUUUCAGCACCAGGGACAGGGGCACCGCGUUGGCUCUCAAGAGCACAUGGUCAAGCACAUGGUCGGCCACCUGUGCUGGGAGCUUAGCUCUUUUACGUUCUUUGGUGGGGAGGGAAUAGUGGAAAAUCUCACCCCCUCCGUCUCCCUGGUUGGGAUGAAAGCAUAUUUUCUUUGGGGCCACGGUGGCCCAAGAUUUGCAGGGCAUGAAAAGUCAAUCGGCAGGGGGGAUUCACAUCAGUCUCGAAGAUGACAGACACCUUCUCUCAAAAAAGACCUCCUGGGGCUGGCCCCAUGGCCAAGUAGUUAAGUUCCUGCGCCUCCGCUGCAGGCAGCCCAGUGUUUCAUUGGUUCGAAUCCUGGGCACGGACACGGCACUGCUCAUCAAACCAUGCUGAGGCAGCGUCCCACAUGCCACAACUAGAAGGACCCACAACGAAGAAUAUACAACUAUGUACUGGGGGGGUUUGGGGAGAAAAAGGAAAAAAAUAAAAUCUUUAAAAAAAAAAAAAAGAAAGACCUC